rnacentral:rRNA from 1 species
UACGUAGGGUGCAAGCGUUAAUCGGAAUUACUGGGCGUAAAGCGUGCGCAGGCGGCUUUGCAAGACAGAUGUGAAAUCCCCGGGCUCAACCUGGGAACUGCAUUUGUGACUGCAUGGCUAGAGUACGGUAGAGGGGGAUGGAAUUCCGCGUGUAAGCAGUGAAAUGCGUAGAUAUGCGGAGGAACACCGAUGGCGAAGGCAAUCCCCUGGACCUGUACUGACGCUCAUGCACGAA